GAGGCAGGCCUAACACAUGCAAGUCGAACGGCAGCGGGGGGUAGCUUGCUACCUCGCCGGCGAGUGGCGGACGGGUGAGUAAUGCCUGGGGAGCUGCCCAAUCGAGGGGGAUACCAGUUGGAAACGACUGCUAAUACCGCAUACGCCCUGAGGGGGAAAGGUGGGGAUCUUCGGACCUACCGCGAUUGGAUGCGCCCAGGUGGGAUUAGCUAGUUGGUGAGGUAACGGCUCACCAAGGCGACGAUCUCUAGCUGUUCUGAGAGGAUGACCAGCCACACUGGAACUGAGACACGGUCCAGACUCCUACGGGAGGCAGCAGUGGGGAAUAUUGCACAAUGGGGGAAACCCUGAUGCAGCCAUGCCGCGUGUGUGAAGAAGGCCUUCGGGUUGUAAAGCACUUUCAGUCAGGAGGAAAGGUGGCUAGCUAAUACCUAGUUGCUGUGACGUUACUGACAGAAGAAGCACCGGCUAACUCCGUGCCAGCAGCCGCGGUAAUACGGAGGGUGCAAGCGUUAAUCGGAAUUACUGGGCGUAAAGCGCACGCAGGCGGCUUGUUACGUCAGAUGUGAAAGCCCCGGGCUCAACCUGGGAACUGCAUUUGAAACUGACAAGCUAGAGUCUUGUA
rnacentral:rRNA from 1 species